GUCCUACGGGGGGCAGCAGUAGGGAAUCUUCCACAAUGGACGAAAGCCUGAUGGAGCAACGCCGCGUGAGUGAAGAAGGGUUUCGGCUCGUAAAACUCUGUUGGUAGUGAAGAAAGAUAGAGGGAGUAACUGGCCUUUAUUUGACGGUAAUUAAUUAGAAAGUCACGGCUAACUACGUGCCAGCAGCCGCGGUAAUACGUAGGUGGCAAGCGUUGUCCGGAUUUAUUGGGCGUAAAGCGAGUGCAGGCGGUUUUAUAAGUCUGAUGUGAAAGACCUCGGCUCAAC
rnacentral:rRNA from 1 species